GGGGAUCUAGCUCAAUUGGUAUAGCAUUAUAAGUGCACGUUAAAGGUAUGAGGUUCAAUUCCUUGCAUCUCCA
rnacentral:tRNA from 1 species